rnacentral:rRNA from 1 species
CAGUCGCCACGGGAAUACAGAGGGUGCAAGCGUUAAUCGGAAUUACUGGGCGUAAAGCGCGCGUAGGUGGUUUGUUAAGUUGGAUGUGAAAGCCCCGGGCUCAACCUGGGAACUGCAUCCAAAACUGGCAAGCUAGAGUACGGUAGAGGGUGGUGGAAUUUCCUGUGUAGCGGUGAAAUGCGUAGAUAUAGGAAGGAACACCAGUGGCGAAGGCGACCACCUGGACUGAUACUGACACUGAGGUGCGAAAGCGUGGGGAGCAAACAGGAUUAGAUACCCCGGUAGUCCCUGUCUCUUAUAC